GUAGGUGGCAAGCGUUGUCCGGAAUUAUUGGGCGUAAAGCGCGCGCAGGCGGUUCUUUAAGUCUGAUGUGAAAGCCCACGGCUCAACCGUGGAGGGUCAUUGGAAACUGGAGAACUUGAGUACAGAAGAGGAAAGCGGAAUUCCGCGUGUAGCGGUGAAAUGCGUAGAGAUGUGGAGGAACACCAGUGGCGAAGGCGGCUUUCUGGUCUGUAACUGACGCUGAGGCGCGAAAGCGUGGGGAGCAAACAGGAUUAGAUACCCUGGUAGUCCACGCCGUAAACGAUGAGUGCUAAGUGUUAGGGGGUUUCCGCCCCCCUUAGUGCUGCAGCUAACGCAUUAAGCACUCCGCCUGGGAUACGGCCGCAAGGCUG
rnacentral:rRNA from 1 species